AGGUCGCGGGUUCGAAUCCCGUUGGGGGUAC
rnacentral:tRNA from 1 species